CAAAAUCCAAACCCUGUUUGUGAAUCGUGUUUUUGUUUUGUUUGUUUUGUUUAUUUUUUGUGGGGUAAAGUUGAUCCCAUACAUCUCAAGUGUUAACAAAAUCAUACAUCUAUCAAUAACAAAUCUAUAUUUAGAAUCUUCAUCAAGUAAUUUUAAAAUGUGUUUAAAAAAAGAAAAAAAACCCAUAAGGCACCACUUCAGGUAAGACGGAGCACUAUCUUACCAUCUCUAGACCGCAUCAAUGCCAAGCUCCUUAUUAGCGCCUUAAAAACUAUGUUCUAAUGACAACUCUGUAUAUUUUGUGUCCAUAUAUUCAUCAAUUUACAUAACCUGGAGAAUAUUGUUCCUGUCAUGAUGACUCAAAGUAACUUAUUCUGAAACCUCAUCUUGCACUCUUUCUUUUCAACCAUUCUUGACCAUCUUUCCAAAUUAUUGCCCCGCUCCGACAUUUUUUUUCUCACUCCGGCAUUAUUUUUAUUUUUUUUGCCCUUGCGGUAUGAUGCUUGUAGUAAGGUACUACCCAACCCAAUGGAUUGACCCAACUUGGAGGAGUAUUUGUUUGUUUUAUUGUUUUGUUGUGCAAACAAGAAGGGAAAAGAAGGUUGAUUUGGUUGUUUUUCCUGUUACGGUUUCUGGGGAGAGUUCUUGCUAUGACUUUUGGUGUUCAUGAGAGAUAUCCAUUGUAUUUUUUCUUCCAUCACAUAGUGAAUUAUCUUAAGCUUCGCCCGUGGAUGUAACACAUCAUAUUGGUGUGUGAACCACUUUAAAUCUAAAUCUCUGCAUCAUUUUUGCUUUAAUCUGUUUUGUUACUUCGUGUUUCUUGGUGUUUGCACUAGCAGUAUGAUCAUUGGAUCCUAAUAUUUUACCCUGAUACCACUGACAUUUUUCAUUAAGUACAUGACACAAAAUAUAAAUUGAAAGUAGAAGUAACUUACUUACAUAAUUAUGUAGCCAUGUUGAAGAAUCCUUAUUGGCUUGGGCAACGCAUGUGAAGUAUCCUAAGAGAAUUGAAAUUCCAUCUAUUUUUGGAUGGUUUGCUGAUAAAGCAUGGAGUAAACAGAGAAGUUACAUUAUUGCAACAUUUUGAUCAUCCGAUACAUAUUCAUUCUUAAUUUUUUCAUGAUGAAAACAAUCACAAGAUUGUAUGUGGUGAAAGUUUAGUACUCAUCUGGUGUUUUUGUCUUAGGUACAUUUGUUUCUGCUAUUUUUUUUUUCCCUCUCCUUGGUGUCUUUCUUUCACAUAUUGAAAUGAUGCUCAUUAUUGCUGUCUUUAUCCAAUACUGUUGAAGAGAAGACUAAACGGAUCUUCAGCAAACUAAAAGGCUUGGAUCAGUCUCCUUCAACCCUGCUUCUGUUGUUUAAGUGAAUUCAAGGCAAGCCACCAAAGCCCCUACCAGAUCUCCUUCAAGAGUAUAACCUACCUCCUGGCCUCUUUCCCUGAAAUAUUACUUGUUAUGAGUUCGAUGAAGCAAAGGCUAAGUUGAUUGUGUACCUGCCCUCUACUUGUGAGAUCAGCUUCAAGGACUCCUCUGUUAUGAGAUAUGCUACUCGUGUCAAAGGGGUGCUAAUGAGGGGAAAGCUGAGUGGGAUAGAAGGAAUGAAGACCAAGGUCCUGGUGUGGGUUAAAGUUACAAAGGUGGGCAUCGAGAGCUACAAGUCAGACAAGGUUUGGUUCACAGCUGGUGUGAAGAGAUCAAGAUCAGAGGAAGCAUAUGAGAUGCCUUGUGAUGCCAUUACAGUGGAAGAGUUUUGAGGGCAUAAGAUACUGUAAUCAUCAUCAUUACCAUAACGGCUGACCAUUUUCUGUAUUUUUCACAUCCUGCAUUGUUAUGGGGUGUUCUUGACCUUAUUCAUUAGUGCAUUCAUAUUUGUACACAUUAGUGUUAGAUAUCUAUUCUUUUUGGGGAAGAUCAAUGGAUUUUUUUUUU